GCCAACAACAACAGUGAAGUUGAAUGCACCAGUUCUUGUCUGAUCACCAAAGUUAAGCAAUGUUGAGCCUAGUUAGUACUUAGAUAGUUGACCAUUUUGGGAAACCUAGGUGCUGUAAGCA
rnacentral:rRNA from 1 species